rnacentral:rRNA from 1 species
UGGGGAAUAUUGCACAAUGGGGGAAACCCUGAUGCAGCGACGCCGCGUGAGCGAAGAAGGUUUUCGAAUCGUAAAGCUCUGUCCUAUGAGAAGAUAAUGACGGUAUCAUAGGAGGAAGCCCCGGCUAAAUACGUGCCAGCAGCCGCGGUAAUACGUAUGGGGCGAGCGUUGUCCGGAAUUAUUGGGCGUAAAGGGUACGUAGGCGGUCUAUUAAGUCAGGUGUGAAAGCGUGAGGCUUAACCUCAUUAAGCACUUGAAACUGAUAGACUUGAGUGAAGGAGAGGAAAGUGGAAUUCCUAGUGUAGCGAUGAAAUGCGUAGAUAUUAGGAGGAAUACCGGUGGCGAAGGCGACUUGCUGGACACAAACUGACGCUGAGGAACGAAAGCGUGGGUAGCAAACAGG